GACGAACGCUGGCGGCGUGCUUAACACAUGCAAGUCGAAUGGAAAGGCCCUGCUUGCAGGGUACUCGAGUGGCGAACGGGUGAGUAACACGUGGGUGAUCUGCCCUGCACUUCGGGAUAAGCCUGGGAAACUGGGUCUAAUACCGGAUAGGAGCCAUUUUUAGUGUGAUGGUUGGAAAGUUUUUUCGGUGUAGGAUGAGCUCGCGGCCUAUCAGCUUGUUGGUGGGGUAAUGGCCUACCAAGGCGGCGACGGGUAGCCGGCCUGAGAGGGUGGACGGCCACAUUGGGACUGAGAUACGGCCCAGACUCCUACGGGAGGCAGCAGUGGGGAAGAUUGCACAAUGGGCGCAAGCCUGAUGCAGCGACACCGCGUGGGGGAUGACGGCCUUCGGGUUGUAAACUCCUUUCGCUAGGGACGAAGCUUUUUGUGACGGUACCUAGAUAAGAAGCACCGGCUAACUACGUG
rnacentral:rRNA from 1 species